rnacentral:RNase_MRP_RNA from 1 species
GGAGUGUCAGGCGGAGCGCACCUCAGCGUCCGUACAGAGCAAUGGAGAAUAUAAAUAAAAUAAAAGAAUAAAUAAAUAAAAUAUUUUAUAUUUUAUUUAUUUAUUUAUUUAUUUUAUUUAUUUUUUUUCUCUGCUUCUUAUGCUGGGGGGAAAGUCCCCGUGCCUGCCGUCCGUGAGGGUCAGGGUAAGAGCCCGCCAGUUUGCUAGCUAGCUACUCCCCCGCCCCCCCAGCUAGCUAGCUAGCUAGCUAGCUAGCUGGGGGUGUGUGUGGGGCCCCUGUGACGAGAGAAAGAGAGAGAAGGGAGCAGCAGCAGCAGACGCAUUGCCAUUGACAGCUGAGGUGUACGUACACCCCAGCUGUCUCCUUUUAGGAUUGAGUGCAUGCGCUCGGCGUUCUAUACGCUAACAUAAUGGGGCUUACGUCCUGUACACUC